GAUCAUGGGCUCAGGACGAACGCUGGCGGCGCGCCUAACACAUGCAAGUCGAACGGAGCUGAGAGAAGCUUGCUUUUCUUAGCUUAGUGGCGAACGGGUGAGUAACGCGUGAGUAACCUGCCCUGGAGUGGGGGACAACAGUUGGAAACGACUGCUAAUACCGCAUAAGCCCACGAUCCGGCAUCGGAUUGAGGGAAAAGGAUUUAUUCGCUUCAGGAUGGACUCGCGUCCAAUUAG
rnacentral:rRNA from 1 species